CCUACGGGAGGCUGCAGUGGGGAAUAUUGGGCAAUGGGCGCAAGCCUGACCCAGCAACGCCGCGUGAAGGAUGAAGGCUUUCGGGUUGUAAACUUCUUUUGUCAGGGAAGAGUAUAAGACGGUACCUGACGAAUAAGCCACGGCUAACUACGUGCCAGCAGCCGCGGUAAUACGGAGGUGGCAAGCGUUGUCCGGAUUUACGGGGUGUAAAGGGCGUGUAGCCGGGUUGACAAGUCAGAUGUGAAAUCCUGCGGCUUAACCGCAGAACUGCAUUUGAAACUGUUGAUCUUGAGUAUUGGAGAGGCAGGCGGAAUUCCUAGUGUAGGGGUGAAAUGCGGAGAUAUUAGGAGGAACACCAGUGGCGAAGGCGGUCUGCUGGACAGCAACUGACGGUGAGGCGCGAAAGCGUGGGGAGCAAACAGGAUUAGAUACCCCUGUAGUC
rnacentral:rRNA from 1 species